AGAACUCCACCAUUUUUUUGCGACUACAUGCCUUGUACAGGUCACACAAUUUCGAUGUUAUAUUAUACAUCCUAAAAAAUUUUAUUAAUGAUUAAAAGAAAGAUCGAAACUGAAAUGAUUCAACAUUGCCACACCAUUACGAUGUUAUCGUGAUAAUUGCAUAUAGUCUUCUAAAAGAAUAUUAAAUAAUUGGGUAUUGGCUAUCCUCUACACAGGCAUGAUACGAUCGAUUACGAGAUACGUUAGUACACGCCUUGGAUUCAGUGUAUUUUCGUAAGUAAUUCAUGAUGUGUGAGAGCUUGUAUGAGCUAAUAUGAACAAUUACGCUAAUCGAAAGAGAAAAUUGUUACGUCUAUUGGACAGCAACAAGUACAAGGUGAGUUAAUGCACCUAGU